GACGAACCGUACGAACGUUAUUCGGAAUUACUGGGCUUAAAGGGUGCGUAGGCGGCAUCGAAAGUAGGGUGUGAAAUCCCUCGGCUUAACCGAGGAACUGCGCUCUAAACUACGAUGCUCGAGGAAGAUAGAGGACCAUGGAACUUCGGGUGGAGCGGUGAAAUGCGUUGAUAUCCGUGGGAACACCGGUGGCGAAAGCGAUGGUCUGGAUCUUUUCUGACGCUGAGGCACGAAAGCUAGGGGAGCGAACGGG
rnacentral:rRNA from 1 species